GGAAAUAUUAUGAUCUUACC
rnacentral:siRNA from 1 species